AAUUAAUAAUUAAAGAUUAUGUAUACAAAAAUAAAACCAGACUUCGAUUAAAAAAAAAUCAACUUUUAUUUAGUACAUGUACAAUCCCUACGGGUAAACAUAAAAAAAAUAAAACAAUAAGAGAUUACAGAUGUACCCACAUCCUAAUCAGGUAGAUACAUUUAGAAUUUCACACCCCAAACAAAUAGAAAGAAAAAAAGUAGAGAUCCGAAUUCGCACUCAAAGCAGGGGAACAAAACUGGGAAAAGAUAAUGAUCCAAAUGUUCUCAAAAAAUAAAUAAANNN
rnacentral:lncRNA from 1 species